rnacentral:lncRNA from 1 species
UGCUGCACGUGAUAAAGUCAACGGUUGGAUUAAGAGUGACCAAAGGUAAAACGACCAGGCCCGGUCAACCUUUAGCACACACGUUUGACCUGGUCCAGUCUAAUGACAACAGCUGACCAUCAACCUCGUUCUGGUGCGAUUUGAGACGUUUGUAGUGCCUAGGCACACCAAAUGGUGAGGAGAAUCGGUGGUGCGUGUUUGAUUUCUCCUACUACGGAUAGCAGUCUUACCUGGAGGUCUCUCCUCCAUGCCCACCUCUCUCUCUCUCUCUCUCUCUCUCUCUCUCUCUACGAGUUUCUCUAUCUACAUGUGUGUUUGGGAGUCCCUCCUAUUUCCCAACUCUCUUCUUAGGUUAGCUGUUGAUGGUAUAUGGAUCUGCGCUCCAAUCAUCUACUUUGGAGCUAAACCGUGCCCACCUCCACCAGUACCGGACCUAGAUGUGAAGACGGCGGCGUUUGCCCACUAUAAGACAGACUGCACCAGGACAGUGCUCUCCGUC